UACGAAGGGGGGCGAGCGUUGUUCGGAUUUACUGGGCGUAAAGGGCGCGCAGGCGGCCGCUCAAGUCAGGCGUGAAAGCCCCGGGCUUAACCUGGGAACUGCGUCUGGGACUGAGUGGCUAGAGUUCGGGAGAGGAGAGUGGAAUUCCCAGUGUAGAGGUGAAAUUCGUAGAUAUUGGGAAGAACACCGGUGGCGAAGGCGGCUCUCUGGACCGAGACUGACGCUGAGGCGCGAAAGCGUGGGGAGCAAACAGG
rnacentral:rRNA from 1 species